rfam:Robinsoniella sp. RHS robin_c134, whole genome shotgun sequence.
AAGAGCCGUAUGCGGGAAAGCCGCACGUACGGUUCUGGAGAGGAUUUCAUAUGGUGACAUAUGAUUUUAC